UACAGAGGGUGCGAGCGUUUAAUCGGAAUUACUGGGCGUAAAGCGUGCGUAGACGGUUAUUUAAGUCGGGUGUGAAAGCCCCGGGCUCAACCUGGGAAUUGCAUUCGAGACUGGAUAGCUAGGAUGUCGGAGAGGGAAGCGGAAUUUCCGGUGUAGCGGUGAAAUGCGUAGAUAUCGGAAGGAACAUCAGUGGCGAAAGCGGCUCCUGGACCAGAACUGACGAUCAGGCACGAAAGCGUGGGGAGCAAACAGGG
rnacentral:rRNA from 1 species